UUUGGUAUCGUAAAAUUCAAGUUCUUUUCCAAUGUCGAAAACGCUGUAACCUAUUCUUUAUUUUGAUUUUCGAAAAUCUAAAGCAUGCCGCAAUUUAGUAUUCGAUGAGGAAUCAUAAGCUGUGUUCGGGAACUCAAAAAUUUCUGCGAAUUUGCACAAAUUUUUACUGGAAGUCGUUCGCGUACUUUAUUUGCCGGCAGAAGAGGGCGCGAGAGAGCAAAUUUUGACAGUUAGAAAAUAGAGAACCUGCAACUUUCUACUGGGACUUUUUUUGCCAGCAGAAAUUUGCAACUUUGAGCAGAUGUUUUGUAAAGGUCAGCUGUUUUAUGAAAAGCAGCCGUUACAUGAAAAUAGAAAAGCUAACGCCAAAAUGGAUCAAAAAGGCAGAGAUUCAAGGCAGCAGUAGUGUUCAGUUACAGAAAACUCGACAAAUGAAGUUGCAAUUUUACCUCAAGUCGGCUGUUCUACACUAGAAGACAACAAGAAAAGAGCAAUUAUCGGUUUCUUUAGGGGUUUGAUGGAAUCAUCCUCAUCGGAGAGCUGCGAUGAAAACAACACCGUUCCUUUGAAUUUGUAAGGGAGGGAAGAUGCUGCCAUGGGAUUAAAUGGGUCUAAGCAGUUAAACAAGUGACGCACAGUGGGAUUAGAAAAAAUUAGUGCAAAUUAGUCUGUCAAUUGUGAACGGCUCCCUAAGAAAGCUCCGUUAGCCCCACAUCAGUUAGCAAUUUAUCUAGCCACAAUAUCCAAAAGUAUUAGAUCUUUGUCAGCAUAACAAGUGUACUUUUGUAUACGGUGAUGGCAUGUAAAGCAGUUGUAGUCCUAUGCAGCCUUCGAAAUGCAUGCUGAUGUUGCCCAAUGAAAGGAGCGGAAGGAGUAGUCCCUUAUGCGUCUUGGCUACUGAUAAGAGAAGGGAGAUUGGUCUGUACGACUCCCUCUUGCUCGUGUCGUUUUCAAGUUUCAGUGCGGGAUCGGACUGCCCAUCUUCCAAACAUUGGUUACUAUAAAAGUGUUCAGACAGGCUGAGGGCAGUUGUAAGGUACUCGGCUCCAGAUUCUUCAGCAUCAGUGUAUAGAUUCUGUCUGGAACCAGCGCUUUGCUCGACUUGGCGUCACGGAUGACAUUCGUAGCUUCGUGCACGCUUGUUGUUGUUGAUGUAGCAGUAUGUUGUACACUGAAAUACUCCAUCGGGCCAAUGCGGUACGUAGAAUCGCCUGCCAUGGCAUUGCACGGUAAUUGGUGAUGACUGUCCUGUCCGGCACGGAGAUCACGGAUAUACGAAUGGCUCCCUUCUAGCCUUUUCACUCUCGGGUCCAUAAAGUUACGUUAUCUAAGGAAAAUACCUCACAAAUAUCCCCAGAAUUUUUUAUUUAAGAACAUUUUUUUCCAAACAAGCAAACUAAGAACUAACCAAUACAAAAAUCAGCAAAUCUGCAAA